rfam:Candidatus Kaiserbacteria bacterium RIFCSPHIGHO2_01_FTLL_54_36 rifcsphigho2_01_scaffold_4113, whole genome shotgun sequence.
GGAGUUCUGAGUAAGGGCGUGUGGUGGAUGCCUAGACUGAAGAAGGCGAUGAAGGACGCGGCUUAGCUGCGAUAAGCUCCGGUAAGAUGCCAAGCAAUCGUUAUACCCGGAGAUUUCCGAAUGGGGCAACCCUAUUGAGUAAACCUCAAUAACUUUCGAGUUAAACAUUCGAGAGAGCAGACCUUGGGAAGUAAAACAUUUCAGUACCAAGAGGAAAAGAGACCAACAGGUAUUCCCUUAGUAGCGGCGAGCGAAACGGGAGAAGCACAAACUCAGCCUCAAAAUCGGAUCGUACAUAGUAAUGAUUCGGUUUUGGGUUUGGGGGUUAUAAGGCUACAGCGCUGGCAACAGGUAAAGUAAAAAAAUGCUGAGUUAGAGGAACGCACUGGGAAGUGCGACCCCAGAGGGUAAUAGUCCCGUACUCGAAAACGAAGCAUCUUUAUGGCUGUAGUUCUUGAGUAACUCGAGACACGGAUAGCUCGGGUGAAUUCGGCGGCACUAACCGCUAAUGCUACAUACUUCUUCAGAUCGAUAGUGAACAAGUACCGUGAGGGAAAGGUGAAAAGAACCCCGGUGAGGGGAGUGAAAUAGAACUGAAACCACAUGUCUACAAGGAGUCAGAGCGGUUGGACACGGACGUCUGAAUUUUUUGGUACUCGGCGAGGGUCAACCUCGUGAACGAACCAACGGAUUCGGAAAUCGUGUCCAACCGCGAUGGCGUGCCUAUUGAAGAAUGAGCCAACGAGUUGAUGCAUACGGCUUGGCUAAGUGCUAAACGCAUGGAGCCGCAGCGAAAGCGAGUGUUAAAAGCGCGUUUGUCGUAUGUAUCAGACCCGAAGCAACGUGAGCUACCCAUGAGCAGGAUGAACUCUGUAGAAAUACAGAGGGAGGUCCGAACCCA